ACGUAGGGCGCAAGCGUUGUCCGGAAUUAUUGGGCGUAAAGAGCUCGUAGGCGGCUGGUCGCGUCUGUCGUGAAAACUUCCGGCUCAACCGGGGGCUUGCGGUGGGUACGGGCCGGCUAGAGUGCGGUAGGGGUAACUGGAACUCCUGGUGUAGCGGUGGAAUGCGCAGAUAUCAGGAAGAACACCGAUGGCGAAGGCAGGUUACUGGGCCGUUACUGACGCUGAGGAGCGAAAGCGUGGGGAGCGAACAG
rnacentral:rRNA from 1 species